UGUGCCUACGGGGCGCAGCAGUGGGGAAUAUUGCACAAUGGGCGCAAGCCUGAUGCAGCCAUGCCGCGUGUAUGAAGAAGGCCUUCGGGUUGUAAAGUACUUCCAGCGGGGAGGAAGGGAGUAAAGUUAAUACCUUUGCUCAUUGACGUUACCCGCAGAAGAAGCACCGGCUAACUCCGUGCCAGCAGCCGCGGUAAUACGUAGGGUGCAAGCGUUAAUCGGAAUUACUGGGCGUAAAGCGCACGCAGGCGGUUUGUUCAGUC
rnacentral:rRNA from 1 species